rnacentral:lncRNA from 1 species
CUGUCCCCAUUGCUGUUUCCCGUGGUGGCUGGUCCCCGGGCUUGGCAGCACUCUGCUAUUUCAGCAAAAUAAGAUGCAAACUUUCUCCUAAAUGCUCUAUAAUUUUAUUUUAUUAAAACAUUUACAAGGAGAGGGAGAGUGGGUUUUUUGCACCAUCCCAAGCGGGUGCCAGUAAAAUCUUUAUACCCUACCACAGGCUCAGGUACCACACUUUUCCAAAGGAAAACAUAUUAUGCAGAGAAAUUAUUUUCUUAAAGAGAAUACAUUAGAGAAAGGAUAUAAAACUUUAUUGUCGCUAUAUUUCCUACCCCCUACUUCAGUAAGCCAACUUUCUCAAGCGCUACAUGCUGAGGAAGGGAGGAAGGAGGGAAAUAAGGCAUUAGUCAGAUGGGGGAACUUCUGAGAGCGCUUCAAAUAACGUUGCUUAAAAGCAAUGCCUCAGUUUUAAGACCCGGCGCCUUAGGAACGGAGAUGGAUGGAAAGUUCUUUUCUUCCUGCCAUUCACAACCAGAGAUGUGCUGCCCCGAACACAGAGGAUGUCGAUCCGUCUCUUCUGCUACGAUUCCAAAAUCAAUUCCAUCGCCCUGUAGCGCUCCUUGAUCCUUCGCUGACUUCAGCAGAGCUGCAAGCAGUGGGGCAGUUCAUGAUCAGAUGACUUUCCAUUGACUCUGGGAGGCUUCUGGGUGUCUCUCCCAGCUCCUUAUUUUGUAAGCACUUACUGAAAUGCUGCCUGAAAAAACAAACACGAAGCUUAAAUCACUGGUCCAAGUCCCGGGGGGAUAUUCCCAUUCACUCCAAUGGGCACCGGCCCAGGCUCUCACUGUGCAGAGCAUGGUAACUUCAUUGCAAUAGGCCCUGUGAAGGCUUUGCCAAAUUAAAGUUAAAAUUUUGUAAUUCUUUCAGUUUAAUUGUCCAUUGUAUCUGAUCCUGAGCGACUCCUUCAGACUUCGGAAAUAAUCAGACCACUGGGUGAAAUCCUGGCUUCACCGAGGUCAAUGGCAGAAGCUUCCACGGACUUAAUGAGGCCACAGGCUCUCCCCACGUCUUCUGUGGUGUUAUUUAUGUUGUGGUUCAAUGAGCGGUUGUCUAAUGCAGAUGCGUAAAUGACUCCUAAUGAGAUCAAGAUCCCCACGGUGGUUGGGGUUGGACGAGAAUACGAUCUUGGCUGUCUGUGAUCAAGGACAGCGGGUUUAGGAGGAAGAUACAGAGCGAACAUGAGUGGCCUGUGCACUGCCUGCUGGCAGAAAUUUGGCUCCCGUUGCCCUGUCCCACUGAAACCCUUCCACAUCACUGAUGGAUCCAUAGAUAAUCAAUGGAGACUGAUGGCUAAGGGUUCAGACUGGGGCACGACCGCCAGUGAAAAGGGGUUUGAUUCAAGGCUUUGAAACAGAAAACAAACCUUUCUGAAAAACAAAAUCACCCAUUAAAGUUGAUGAUAAUGUGAAAAAUGUUCAUCUCACCCCCAGAAAUGUACUUUCUUUCCACGUUAAGGAAGUGAAACACAGAACGCGAUAAGGAGCGUUAGAGGACUUCUUCUCUGCCAGAAACCGGUUGGUUGCAAAUGCCUUCAAAUGAAAACAACUCAGAAAUUUCAAAAAUGUUUGCAAAAGGACAUUUUCACUUUUCAACCAACUCUGUUAUUGAUUUUCCAGGCUGAAUGAGGAAUGCUUGUUGAAUUUUAUGGAAACUGAUAGUGGGACUAUAUGAAACUGGCCAUAAAAGAUAACAGAUUUUGUUUUAAAGUCAGAUAAAAGUUAUAGUCCCAUGUUAUUUGGCAUAUGAAUUUCCUAUGAUACCAAUAAAAAUGUUAGUUAUAAAGCAUUUCCUGAGGAAUGGUUGUAACCCCA